rnacentral:rRNA from 1 species
GACGAACGCUGGCGGCGUGCCUAAUACAUGCAAGUCGAGCGAAUCAAUAGGAGCUUGCUCCUGUUGGUUAGCGGCGGACGGGUGAGUAACACGUGGGCAACCUGCCUGUAAGACUGGGAUAACACCGGGAAACCGGUGCUAAUACCGGAUAAUCCUUUUUCUCUCAUGAGGGAAAGCUGAAAGUCGGUUUCGGCUGACACUUACAGAUGGGCCCGCGGCGCAUUAGCUAGUUGGUGAGGUAAUGGCUCACCAAGGCGACGAUGCGUAGCCGACCUGAGAGGGUGAUCGGCCACACUGGGACUGAGACACGGCCCAGACUCCUACGGGAGGCAGCAGUAGGGAAUCUUCCACAAUGGACGAAAGUCUGAUGGAGCAACGCCGCGUGUGUGAUGAAGGCCUUCGGGUCGUAAAGCUCUGUUGUUAGGGAAGAACAAGUACCGGAGUAACUGCCGGUACCUUGACGGUACCUAACCAGAAAGCCACGGCUAACUACGUGCCAGCCGCCGCAGUAACAC